rnacentral:lncRNA from 1 species
GUGGCGGUGAAACUCAUAAAAGUUUUUUGUUGAGUGUAAAAAAUGAUGAAUGUUGAAGAGGGAAGUUAGUGGUGAUGGAAAUCCACUAAUAGAGAAUUGAAGCUUAGUAUUGAAGGUUAUUUUGGAUGGUUGUUUAUGUUGUUCCGAUAAUAUGUUUUCUCGGAGUUGAGUUUUUCAAAAAAGGUGAUGACAUUGUUGUUGGACAGUGUUUCCGAUGAAGGCGGU